UGGGGAAUAUUGCACAAUGGAGGGAACUCUGAUGCAGCAACGCCGCGUGCGGGAUGACGGCCUUCGGGUUGUAAACCGCUUUCAGCCAUGACGAAGCUUUUGUGACGGUAGUGGUAGAAGAAGCACCGGCUAACUACGUGCCAGCAGCCGCGGUGAUACGUAGGGUGCGAGCGUUGUCCGGAAUUAUUGGGCGUAAAGAGCUUGUAGGCGGUUUGUCGCGUCGAAAGUGUAAACUCAGUGCUUAACGGUGAGCCUGCUUUCGAUACGGGCUGACUAGAGGAGGGUAGGGGAGAAUGGAAUUCCCGGUGGAGCGGUGGAAUGCGCAGAUAUCGGGAGGAACACCAGUGGCGAAGGCGGUUCUCUGGACCUUUCCUGACGCUGAGAAGCGAAAGCGUGGGUAGCAAACAGG
rnacentral:rRNA from 1 species